GGGUUGUGAGGUUAAGCGACUAAGCGUACACGGUGGAUGCCCUGGCAGUCAGAGGCGAUGAAGGACGUGCUAAUCUGCGAUAAGCGUCGGUAAGGUGAUAUGAACCGUUAUAACCGGCGAUUUCCGAAUGGGGAAACCCAGUGUGAUUCGUCACACUAUCAUUAACUGAAUCCAUAGGUUAAUGAGGCGAACCGGGGGAACUGAAACAUCUAAGUACCCCGAGGAAAAGAAAUCAACCGAGAUUCCCCCAGUAGCGGCGAGCGAACGGGGAGCAGCCCAGAGCCUGAAUCAGUGUGUGUGUUAGUGGAAGCGUCUGGAAAGGCGUGCGAUACAGGGUGACAGCCCCGUACACAAAAAUGCACAUGCUGUGAGCUCGAUGAGUAGGGCGGGACACGUGGUAUCCUGUCUGAAUAUGGGGGGACCAUCCUCCAAGGCUAAAUACUCCUGACUGACCGAUAGUGAACCAGUACCGUGAGGGAAAGGCGAAAAGAACCCCGGCGAGGGGAGUGAAAAAGAACCUGAAACCGUGUACGUACAAGCAGUGGGAGCACGCUUAGGCGUGUGACUGCGUACCUUUUGUAUAAUGGGUCAGCGACUUAUAUUCUGUAGCAAGGUUAACCGAAUAGGGGAGCCGAAGGGAAACCGAGUCUUAACUGGGCGUUAAGUUGCAGGGUAUAGACCCGAAACCCGGUGAUCUAGCCAUGGGCAGGUUGAAGGUUGGGUAACACUAACUGGAGGACCGAACCGACUAAUGUUGAAAAAUUAGCGGAUGACUUGUGGCUGGGGGUGAAAGGCCAAUCAAACCGGGAGAUAGCUGGUUCUCCCCGAAAGCUAUUUAGGUAGCGCCUCGUGAAUUCAUCUCCGGGGGUAGAGCACUGUUUCGGCAAGGGGGUCAUCCCGACUUACCAACCCGAUGCAAACUGCGAAUACCGGAGAAUGUUAUCACGGGAGACACACGGCGGGUGCUAACGUCCGUCGUGAAGAGGGAAACAACCCAGACCGCCAGCUAAGGUCCCAAAGUCAUGGUUAAGUGGGAAACGAUGUGGGAAGGCCCAGACAGCCAGGAUGUUGGCUUAGAAGCAGCCAUCAUUUAAAGAAAGCGUAAUAGCUCACUGGUCGAGUCGGCCUGCGCGGAAGAUGUAACGGGGCUAAACCAUGCACCGAAGCUGCGGCAGCGACACUGUGUGUUGUUGGGUAGGGGAGCGUUCUGUAAGCCUGCGAAGGUGUGCUGUGAGGCAUGCUGGAGGUAUCAGAAGUGCGAAUGCUGACAUAAGUAACGAUAAAGCGGGUGAAAAGCCCGCUCGCCGGAAGACCAAGGGUUCCUGUCCAACGUUAAUCGGGGCAGGGUGAGUCGACCCCUAAGGCGAGGCCGAAAGGCGUAGUCGAUGGGAAACAGGUUAAUAUUCCUGUACUUGGUGUUACUGCGAAGGGGGGACGGAGAAGGCUAUGUUGGCCGGGCGACGGUUGUCCCGGUUUAAGCGUGUAGGCUGGUUUUCCAGGCAAAUCCGGAAAAUCAAGGCUGAGGCGUGAUGACGAGGCACUACGGUGCUGAAGCAACAAAUGCCCUGCUUCCAGGAAAAGCCUCUAAGCAUCAGGUAACAUCAAAUCGUACCCCAAACCGACACAGGUGGUCAGGUAGAGAAUACCAAGGCGCUUGAGAGAACUCGGGUGAAGGAACUAGGCAAAAUGGUGCCGUAACUUCGGGAGAAGGCACGCUGAUAUGUAGGUGAAGUCCCUCGCGGAUGGAGCUGAAAUCAGUCGAAGAUACCAGCUGGCUGCAACUGUUUAUUAAAAACACAGCACUGUGCAAACACGAAAGUGGACGUAUACGGUGUGACGCCUGCCCGGUGCCGGAAGGUUAAUUGAUGGGGUCAGCGCAAGCGAAGCUCUUGAUCGAAGCCCCGGUAAACGGCGGCCGUAACUAUAACGGUCCUAAGGUAGCGAAAUUCCUUGUCGGGUAAGUUCCGACCUGCACGAAUGGCGUAAUGAUGGCCAGGCUGUCUCCACCCGAGACUCAGUGAAAUUGAACUCGCUGUGAAGAUGCAGUGUACCCGCGGCAAGACGGAAAGACCCCGUGAACCUUUACUAUAGCUUGACACUGAACAUUGAGCCUUGAUGUGUAGGAUAGGUGGGAGGCUUUGAAGUGUGGACGCCAGUCUGCAUGGAGCCGACCUUGAAAUACCACCCUUUAAUGUUUGAUGUUCUAACGUUGACCCGUGAUCCGGGUUGCGGACAGUGUCUGGUGGGUAGUUUGACUGGGGCGGUCUCCUCCUAAAGAGUAACGGAGGAGCACGAAGGUUGGCUAAUCCUGGUCGGACAUCAGGAGGUUAGUGCAAUGGCAUAAGCCAGCUUGACUGCGAGCGUGACGGCGCGAGCAGGUGCGAAAGCAGGUCAUAGUGAUCCGGUGGUUCUGAAUGGAAGGGCCAUCGCUCAACGGAUAAAAGGUACUCCGGGGAUAACAGGCUGAUACCGCCCAAGAGUUCAUAUCGACGGCGGUGUUUGGCACCUCGAUGUCGGCUCAUCACAUCCUGGGGCUGAAGUAGGUCCCAAGGGUAUGGCUGUUCGCCAUUUAAAGUGGUACGCGAGCUGGGUUUAGAACGUCGUGAGACAGUUCGGUCCCUAUCUGCCGUGGGCGCUGGAGAACUGAGGGGGGCUGCUCCUAGUACGAGAGGACCGGAGUGGACGCAUCACUGGUGUUCGGGUUGUCAUGCCAAUGGCACUGCCCGGUAGCUAAAUGCGGAAGAGAUAAGUGCUGAAAGCAUCUAAGCACGAAACUUGCCCCGAGAUGAGUUCUCCCUGACUCCUUGAGAGUCCUGAAGGAACGUUGAAGACGACGACGUUGAUAGGCCGGGUGUGUAAGCGCAGCGAUGCGUUGAGCUAACCGGUACUAAUGAACCGUGAGG
rnacentral:rRNA from 1 species